rnacentral:rRNA from 1 species
GUGCUCUAGAUUAGAGUUGAUCCUGGCUCAGGAUGAACGCUGGCGGCAGGCUUAAUACAUGCAAGUCGAACGGUAAGGCCGAGUGUAGCAAUACACGAGGUACACGAGUGGCGCACGGGUGCGUAACGCGUAUGCAACCUGCCCCUAACCGGGACAAAACAGCUGGAAACGGCUGCUAAUAUCCCAUGGCCUCACGGGAGGGCAUCCUCCUGUGUGUAAAGAUUCAUUGGUUAGGGAUGGGCAUGCGUAUUAUUUUUGUAGUUGGCGGGGUAACGGCCCACCAAGCUUUCGAUGAUUAGGGGUCCUGAGCCCCCCUAACCCCCACACUGGAACUGAGACACGGUCCAGACUCCUACGGGAGGCAGCAGUAGGGAAUAUUGGGCAAUGGGAGCAAUCCUGACCCAGCCAUGCCGCGUGAAGGAAGACGGCCCUAUGGGUUGUAAACUUCUUUUGCCGCAGAGUAAACCCGGUCACGUGUGGCCGGUUGAGAGUAUGCGGCGAAUAAGUAUCGGCUAACUCCGUGCCAGCAGCCGCGGUAAUACGGAAGGAUACAGCGUUAUCCCGGAUUUUAUUGGGGUUUAAAGGGUGCGCAGCGGACCGUUAGUCCAGGGGUGAAAAGUGGGGCUCACUCCAUCGUGCCUUUGAUACUGGCGGACUAAAUGCGAUAGGGCGUGUCGAUUGUUCCCUGGUACGUGAAUGGCUUGAAUAUUGU